GAGGGUAGAGCUCAGUGGGAGAGUGCAUGCUUAGCACGCAUGAGGUCCUGGGUUUAAUCACCAGUACCUCCA
rnacentral:tRNA from 1 species